rnacentral:lncRNA from 1 species
AUUAAUUAACUAACACUAGUUCAGAGCAUCUCAAUCCAAAUCAAAUACUAAAACACAUAUCUCUAAAUUCAUAAAUAAUUAACUACAAGUCCAUGAUCAUCUAAUAAACUAAAAUUCAGCUACAAAAUUUUCAAGCUUGCUAGCGUAAACCCUCAAGCCUGAAUCAUCUGUCAUUGUUAAUCUUAUUUUUCUGUAAAAGAAAAGAAGGAUAAAGAGGUAUGAGCUAUACUAGCUCAGCAAGUAAAACUUAUACUAUUUUACCGAAUCAAGCAUAAGUUUUUCAUGCAUCAAUAAAUUAUUUAGAGUAGAUAAUUAUCAUUAUAAGAUAAAACUUUUCAUAAUAGCAGUAUAAUCAUAAAUCAGUUAUGCUCUUGUAUAUGCAUAAAUCAUGCAAUUUUAUAUAAAUACGGUUUCUAAUGCAUAAUAUAAAUAAAUUCAUAAAUCACACUAACUUUAUAAAUAAAGUCAUAAAUCAUUUAUUAUUUGACUACAUUAUUAUUCUUAAUAAUUUUCUCAUACUAAAUGCUAAGUCAUUAUUAUACUCGUGACAGGACUGUAAUCGACAAAAUACAAACUACUAUUAUCCACUGGUAUGGUCAUAUGUCAACUACUACCCAAUGGCAGAGUCGUAUGCCAACUACUGUUACUUCUCAGCAGGGUUAUAUGCCAACAACUAAUACCCACUAGUAGGGUCACUUGGAUGCUAACUCCAGAUAUCAAUCUUCUCCACUUUUAGAGGCCAUACAGAGUUAUCUGAGAGUUUUAUUCCAUAUUUCUUAAAACAAAUAUUUUUCAACCAUAUUUCAUCAAAUUAUAUUUCUUAAAUAACACAGAAAUAAGAUAUUAAAUAAUUUUAUAGAGUUUAUGAUACAUAAAUAAUUUUUGAUAGUAAAAUAAUCAAGAAAUCAUUUCUUUCAUAAUAAAAUAUAAAUUUUAUAAAUAUGGAGUUCAUAUUUUAUAAACCAGUUGUUUAUAUUACAAUAUUCAUAAAAUCACUAUUUUAUAAUACAUUAUGAGUUUCAUAAUAAAUAUGUUCGAUCUUUAUUUAUUUUAUAAAAAUAUAGAAUAAAUUUUUAUGAUAAAAUAAAUAAUAAUUUAAAAUAAGUAAGAAGUAUUGAAAUUACUUAUCUCUUUUGCUCCGAACCUUCAAAGUUUAACUAUAUGAAUCAUCUGAACUUAUUCAAAGCAAUUAAAAUCCAUUAUCAACAAUAUUGAUAUUAAAGAAAACUAAGAUGAGUUAAAAUUGAGCAAUCCAAGAUGGGGGAAGAAUAAAGUCAACUAGAUGGCAGUGCUCAACUAACUGGGUCGGUUUGAACAAGAUGCACUUAACUAGUUAUGAUCAAUUAUGGUUUAGAUAAUUUAAUAAGGAUCAAUGCUAACUGGAUUCCAAAUGUAUCCAGCAAGGGAUGGGAUGGGGUUGACACACCGCAUGGGUAUUAAACUAAUUUCAUGACAAAAGAUUAUCUUAGGUUCAUAGUAGAGGAGCAUGGGCCCUCUACUGAGAUCCAUGGAUCAGAUAGAGAGAGAAAGAGGGAGUAAACAGAGAAACCCUAGAGAGAAGGAGAGAGGGAUAACUCUUCUCUCUUCUUUUUUCUUUUCUUUUCUUCUUUCUUUCUUCUUUUUCUUCUUCCCUUCUUUGGCCGAUCAAGGAAAGAAGGGGGGUAGUGGCUAGUGGUUGGAGGACUGGCAAUAGGUGGUAGCAGCGAGUGGCCGGCGGCGGUAGAGCAGGGAACAAUUGGCGGCAAGUGGCCGGCCGACAAAAAAAAUGAAGAACAGGGCCAAAUCGAGACCCUUUGCCCGGUUAUGGUUGGAAAAGGAAGAAAAGAAGGGCCAAAAAUAGAGGAUUUCUUUUUAAUGAUUUUCUGGUGACCCUAAGGACUGGCAGCGAUGUGCAAGGCCAUAGAAAGAAAGGGACGGGAGAGAGGACAUGAGUCCGGGGCCUUACCUCAGCUUCGGUGGUGUCUUGGCUUCGAUUUCCAAAUGGGCAAAAGGAUGGGACAUCGUAAACUUAAAUUGGGAGAAAGAGAGAGGAGGUGUGAUGAUCAAUGGUAGAGGACCAUAGGAGGGAUGGGGGGCUAUUUACGGAGACCCCAAAGAUCCUAAUUGCCUUAGGACUGCGGCUUCUUCUCGGAAUUAAUUGGGAGUCUUCUUGCAGCUUUUUUUCUCCCCCUUC